ACUGUAUCCCAUUACACAGACCUCCAGAACUCAUGAAGGUGCCUACCAUAUAGAUGUUCACAUAAGGGCCAUGUGGAUUCCUAUACUGUCUGAGAAACAUAAUAAAACUUCCAUUAGAGGAGAAAACCUUCUCUGGAAACAUGGACAAAAUGAAAUUAAAAUGCUGUUCCAGAUUCCUAGGUCUGAGCACAAGAGAACCGCACGUUGCAAGGCUCAGAAGAAAGUGUGCUUUGAAUCUUGGGAAAUGAUUGCCAGCCAGAGGAGACAAGGAGAACCAAUGGUCUGAAGAUGCAUAAGGUAGCUUUGUAUGCCUUUUACUCAGGAAUGUUGACCUACAUGAAUGCCUAUAGCAUCACUGCAAACAUACAGAAAAAAAAGAUGGACAAAGAUGUAGCAUAUGCUAGAAAAUAGGACUGUGCACAAGUCUACCAAUUAGGUUUGCAGGCCACUUCUGGACUU
rnacentral:lncRNA from 1 species